rnacentral:rRNA from 1 species
GCCCAGACUCCUACGGGAGGCAGCAGUGGGGAAUAUUGCACAAUGGGGGAAACCCUGAUGCAGCGACGCCGCGUGAGUGAAGAAGUAUUUCGGUAUGUAAAGCUCUAUCAGCAGGAAAGAAAAUGACGGUACCUGACUAAGAAGCCCCGGCUAACUACGUGCCAGCAGCCGCGGUAAUACGUAGGGGGCAAGCGUUAUCCGGAUUUACUGGGUGUAAGGGGAGCGUAGACGGUGAAGCAAGUCUGAAGUGAAAGGCGGGGGCUCAACCCCCGGACUGCUUUGGAAACUGUUUGACUGGAGUGCAGGAGAGGUAAGUGGAAUUCCUAGUGUAGCGGUGAAAUGCGUAGAUAUUAGGAGGAACACCAGUGGCGAAGGCGGCUUACUGGACUGUAACUGACGUUGAGGCUCGAAAGCGUGGGGAGCAAACAGGAUUAGAUACCCCGGUAUGA